rnacentral:lncRNA from 1 species
GUUUUUGCAAGUGUUAUGUCCUAUAGAAUGGUACAUGCUCAGAGGCUUGUACAGGGACCCACAUGACACAUAGAGCACAGCACAGAAACCAUGGGGAAAGAUGGGUCUGGAAGUCUUUGGAAGGGCCACAAAGGACAUCUGGGAAGCAAGGCCUGCCUGUCAGUGGAGGGAGGAGUGGGAGCUGGGAGAAUUUUCCAUAAAGAUGAAGCACACUCAACUUUUCUUUAGCCAUAACGCAUACAGGCUGGCUAUUCACACUGUUGAUCUUUCUGAGCUGAUGGGAAUGAAGAAACCAAGGUGCCUUUCAUUAAUUCUUCCCACUAAACUAAUGGAGCCACUGCAUCUUGCAGACCAUCAGGAGAGCAGAAACAAAAGUAUUGGCUGGAAAAACUUCAUCACUGCUAUCCCUCUCAGGAGAGAGCUUCUUUGUACAGAUGAGAACCAAAUCCUCAGCUCAGCGUUAUCCACUUGAUGGUUGGAAGACUCCUUCAGACAAGCGUCCGGCUCUGGAUACUUCAGACACUGUUUUAUUUAUACCGCUCACCUGCUUGCAAGUGCUGACUGCUGAAGGGUUAGAGUUAAAUUGUGAUAGAAAUGUUGUACUGUAUCUUUGCAUAACAAUACUAGGUGAGUUGGUACUUUGGAGGAAGAAGUAUGUCUGGAAGCUAUUCCACACUAGGUCACCCUGCAGUAACUUAGUUAUACGUAUGACAGCGCCUAUGAGCCAUAUAACUAACUAUAUCUUACUACACCUAAACUAAAAAUGAUUCAACUUCCCAUUAACCAGAUUCCAAAAAUGCCUGUAAACUACUCCCAUGCCAUCCUACACAAGGGCAAGCAUGAAACCUUAACCAGUUGUCAGCAAAUAACUUACUUUUACAAAUUGACAAGGCAUACUGCCAAGGCCUUGGAAGAGGUUCAUACAAGUGCAAGGACCUGAAGCUUCAGCUUCAUACUUUCCCCAGAAAUCCACCUCUGGGGGAUAACUCUAAAACACUAAAUUCAGAUAUUUGAGAACAUAAUUUACUGUUAAUAUGUUAACAUUGAAAUUCAACAUAUGACUUUAAAUUGGGCUACUUUUGAUGGAAAAGGAGAAAAAAAUAGACACCUCCUGAAACAGCAACAGUUCAUAGUCUGGAAUGAAGGGAUCUCCUGCCAAGAAGAAAAUUCCAGUUUUUCAGAGGCAAUAACAACCAGAUCUGAUCCCUUAGAAUGAAGACAGAUUUGUGGUUCUUGGAAUGUCAUGGGAAGGGUGAUAUAACCUUGAUGGAUGAGCUUCGGGCUUGGGUCAUAUAGUUUGUAUAUUAAACAGCAAGUGCUUUGUUUGGUAUCCCAGUAUGUGAGGUGAAAUUGUUACUUUCUGUAAUUUAAACAUGUGGCAUUGUUUGUGAAAGAUGAUGAGUAAUAAUGGGUUGAGGCAACAACAGCCAACAAUUAGCAAGAGCCUAAUUGCAGGACUUUGAUGUAAUUAUUUAACCCUCAGAACAAUCCUAUGAAGUGAGAAUCAUCUCUAUUUUAUCAAUUACAAAAAUGGAACUAGAGAAAUAGAUUCCUCAUAACUAAUAUGUGGUACCUUCUGGGUCAAACUUCAGUGCUUUUUCUCCUAUGAAGCUGAACGAUAUUUCUUGCUUGCACACGUGGAGCAUGAUUCAAUCCUCAAAAGAAUUUUCUUUUGAGAAAUGAUCUACUUUGCAAUUGAAUUGUGGAUUGUUAGGAAAAGUGCAUAUAACUUCAUAUAAUCACCUAUUCACAAUCAAAACAGUUAUGAAGACAAGUUAAUGCAAUUUGUUGAAGAACAAGCGAUUCUUAUAGACGACUCAGAGUUUUCAGGAAGAGAGCUUGCUGUCCAGAUACGAACCAUGUCUAAUAUCUAAUGUAUCUUGAAGACUUGCUGUGUGCCAGGCAUUCAGCUAAGCUGACACACACUAAGCAUAUGAAACAUUCAAUACCUGAUGAUUCCCAUUUCACAGCUGAGGACAUUGUGGAACAGAUGGAUUAUUAUCUACCUGGGCUCACACAUCUAGGAGGUGAUAAAGGAAAUAAGCAGUAUGCAGCCAUUGGACCCAACCCCUCAGCCACUGUACCAGUGGUGACACAAUACUCUAGAAAACCCAGGCAGGUACUAAACGUAGCUCUUUAAAAAUUUUUCACUCAUAUUCUGUUCUGUGAAUCAAGUAUGGUAUAGUCAGCUAAGAAAUAUCUUUUCUCAUUUUAUAAUAUUUAAUUAUAAAAUUGUAUAUAUUUGAAGUGAUGAUUUGAUAUACACUGUUGAGAGCUUGAGAGAGAGCUGGAUCUCUGCAAGUUGUAUCCAGCUUUUCAAUUAUUUGACAAAGAAGAAUAUGAAGGAUGAAUUCCAUCAUCACUAAAAGGUCAUAGUGAUAUUAACACAUACCCUGAUAACCUGAAAAAGUUGCUGAGAGACCAGAGCGCAGUUCCAUAAUGAGCCUCGGACAUACACAAGGAAACCUGAGCUAUAGAGUCAGUGUCUGCAAAGCCCACGAGAGCUCCCGCUAUGCUCAUUCUUCUGGAGGUUGCUUUUAUCCAACUCACAGCGGCUUCUUCUCUUCUUUACUUUCUGGUAGUAUUUGGAAAUCUUGAAAUUCAUAAGGUUGCUUUGACCUUCUUAGAUGAAAACAUUGGACAAAACAAAGAAAUCUGGCAGCAUGCAUGGUUGAUCUCCAACCUGUUUCAUAAUGUUGACUUCCUAGAGAGAGCAUUUCUCUGACCGUAAAUUAUACUUGGUUUGUAUGGAUGGAUUCCUGUAUCGUGGAAAUUAUGUCCUUAUUUCCUGUACAUAGUAUAUUCACAAAAGCCUACCAAUGUCUGUGUAAAUAAAGCUGCACUAGUGGAAUGGCUAAAUGUAUUAUUUUUCUGAAAUUUGCAGUGUCUGAAUUUUACAUCAGUAAUAGCAUUUCCUGCCAAAGGUAAAUUUCUGGGCUAGUUAUAAACCUGACAGAACAAAAGCCUUAGUGAAGUCUGACUUUUGCUUUUGUUGUUGUCAAAAACAAAAAUUGCCAGUAAGAGUAAAAAGUAAAAACAUCACCCAUUUAAAGAGAGGCACCUGGGGAAAUUGGCUAGCACAGAGCUAACAAUAUAAAUAAAAAUAAAGCGCUGGAUAGUAAAUGUUGUAGGCUUUUUAGGCCAUAAGGUUGCUAUUGCAACCACUCAACUCUGCUCUUCUAGUGCAGAAACAGCCAUAGAUGACCCAUGAAG